rnacentral:rRNA from 1 species
GACGAACGCUGGCGGCGUGCUUAACACAUGCAAGUCGAACGGAAAGGCCCGGCUUUUGUGGGGUGCUCGAGUGGCGAACGGGUGAGUAACACGUGAGUAACCUGCCCUUGACUUUGGGAUAACUUCAGGAAACUGGGGCUAAUAUCGGAUAGGAGCUAUUGCUGCAUGGUGGGGGAUGGAAAGUUUCGGCGGUUGUGGAUGGAUUCGCUGCUUAUCAGCUAGUUGGUGGGGUAGGUGCUUACCAAGGGUUUGACGGGUAGCCCGCAUGAGAGGGUGAACGGCGUCAUGGGGACUGAGGGACGGAGCAGAAGGGUACGGUCGGCAGAAGGGGGGAGUAUUGCGCAGUGGCCGGGAGCGUGAUGCGAAGACGCUGCGAGCGGGAUGACGUCUUUCGGGUGAUAAACAGCUUUCGCAUGUGACAAGGCCUGAGUGACGGUAACGGGUCAAGAAGCAACGGCUAACUACGUG